UUGACCUCGGAUCAGGUAGGAAUACCCGCUGAACUAA
rnacentral:rRNA from 1 species